UACGUAUGGUGCAAGCGUUAUCCGGAUUUACUGGGUGUAAAGGGUGCGUAGGCGGCUUUGCAAGUCAGUUGUGAAAGUUUGCGGCUCAACCGUAAAAUUGCAGUUGAAACUGGCAGUCUUGAGUACAGUAGAGGUGGGCGGAAUUCGUGGUGUAGCGGUGAAAUGCUUAGAUAUCACGAAGAACUCCGAUUGCGAAGGCAGCUCACUAGACUGUUACUGACACUGAUGCUCGAAAGUGUGGGUAUCAAACAGG
rnacentral:rRNA from 1 species